UCCACGCCCUAAACGAUGAGAACUAGCUGUUGGAAGCGUAAAUGCUUUCAGUAGCGAAGCUAACGCGUUAAGUUCUCCGCCUGGGGAGUACGACCGCAAGGUUGAAACUCAAAGGAAUUGACGGGGGCCCGCACAAGCGGUGGAGCAUGUGGUUUAAUUCGAUGCAACGCGAAGAACCUUACCAUCCCUUGACAUCCUGAGAAUUUCUCGUAAUGAGAAAGUGCCUUCGGGAA
rnacentral:rRNA from 1 species